rnacentral:lncRNA from 1 species
AGCUCAUGAAAUAUGUCUGGAUGUUAAAGCCAAGACUGAAGAAAAGAGAGCAGGCAAGGAUAAAGAUCUCUAAAAAAGAAAAGCAUAAUGAGAGAGCAGCAGAUGUGUAAAUAUCAGUGUGAUGUGUCUGUUUCACUAUGACUGCUUUUCUAGAAAAUACUCAGGAGAUGAAUUUCAGUUCUGGCACCAAACUCUGCAGACUAUCAAACAGCCUUGCCAAGAGGAAGCUACACCAUUCUGGGAGCUUGAUGUAUUGUGAAGGGCUUCUGGGUGGCUUGGCAGCAACUUUGCCGA